UUACGGCCAUAUCAUGUUGAAACACCGGUUCUCCUACGAUCACCGAAGUUAAACAACGUUCAACCUGGUCAGUACUUACGCGGAUAAUCGCUUGGGAAUAUUAAGUUCUGG